AGGUUAGGUAUGCGCGUUCUCUUCUCGAAUUGGAGAAUAUUUUUGUGCAAAUUGUUAAUUUGUCAAAUUAUUUCGAAUUAAAACCCUAACAUUUUAUCACUAAUUUUGUUAAUUUGAAACUGCUGGAAAAUCUAAGAAGAUCUAAGCGGGUGUGCUCUGUAAAGUUGGUUUUUCAGAUGUAAGUAACAUCAUAUUUACAUUAUGUAGAUCUUUGAGGGUAUGGAUGUUGAUGUUCAUGUGAGUUGGAAAUUUGGCUUCUUGUUGUAGCAUUCAGUUGAUAUCUGCCUUACUAAUUAUAUCAAAAUUUGCAGAUUUGUGCCAGCCUUAUUUUUAGGUGUACAAGUAAUUUGAUUGUAACUGAAUUUUAAAAAGAUUCCUUGCUAAAUACAAUUGAAUUUUCUGGUGUAAAUUUUAGACCAUUAGUGUUUAUUUUUAGUUGGCACUACCUGAUUCAUCUGUGUUGUUUACGGUUCGGAAUGGGAACUCUGUUCUUUUUUCAUUUGCUCAAUAUGGGGCUCAACAAUCAUAUGUUGAGAUUUGAGGAGGAUUAUAGUAAAUGUUGGAAAUCCUAGUGAGAAUACAAAAGAAAAAUGAGUGGGGAAAAGGGAAUGUGAAAAGUCCCACAUGGGAAAAACACCAACUACUUCUAAAUGUUUAUAUUUGGGGCCUUGAGGGAAUCAUUUGUUUAUGAAAGCAUGUGAGUGGCAUGGGUGGACACACAACACGCGCGCGGGGGCCGGGCCGUGGGCCAUGGGCCUUGGUACCUGGCGAAUGUGGUUCGCAGGCGUGGGGUGGGUUUGUGGUCCGGGUCUUUCCUUUUGGUCAGUGGUGGGCUUAAUUAAUUCUAACGGGCAGAAAGAAUUAAUCAAACCCACUAAUCCCGUAACUGCCUCAUUAACUCCACUUAAUAGCCGUUUUAACUGCCCAUUAAUUACCCAGUAAAUGUGGUAACCUCCCACUACCCCACUACUAGCCGUUUAUGGCUGUUGCAGCUUCCCUAUAAAUACAUCACUUCUGUUUUCCAUUAACACACAGUUACAGAAAGCAUUCUCUACAAUUCUCUCUCAAAUUCUAAACACUGUUCUCGUUUUUCUGGGCAAAUAUUCUGAUCUCCAACCGAGGCUUGUGAGUGCACACAAACCUUGGUGUCGUGUUAACCCUGGAGGGCAACCGCAAGUGUUCUACUGCAUCGGAGGUAGCGCGGAAUUGUCUUUUAGAGCAGUGGUUCGGCCACGGCGCGACAAUCGUUCUAAUUCGGUCACCUCGUUCAUCACGAUAUUGAGAUAAGUUUAUUCUAAUCAUAUUCCAAUCAAAUUAUUGUGGCAACAUUAUUCUUUUACCGUAUUAAAUCGCAACAAUCUAAAAGACAAAUUGAUUUAAUGUUGCGGAAUUUUUUUUUUUUUUUUUUAUGUUGCUACACACGUUAAUAUCUUGAGUUUUGGGGGUUUGUUAUCUAGGUUGACUAAUUAUUUUAUUGGAUGAAGGAUUUGAGAAAUUGGGUGAAGAGUCAGUGCAAUGAAAUCGUAACGGCUAAUGUGGAUUUGAUCGGAUACCUUUAUUAACUUCAUGUACAGGAAAGUAUUCUUAUUCCAAUUCUAAUAAUUCCUUCCAUGCAUAUCCAUUGGCUUAGGAGAUAUUUUGCCGUUUCCCUGCUUGCAUCAUAAUUGGUUCCGAUUUCAUGAAUUUCAUUCGAAUUCCUCAAUUUUAGUUUACGGCCUAGAUAGUUUGUUAGAAUUUGCAGCCUACGUAUUCUGAAGCAGUUCGAUUUUCGGCGGAACCAAUAUGAAGUGGAAAAAUGUAAAACAACGUCUAUCAAAUUAACGUCAAAAUUUGCGGGUCAGAGGCUGUUUUGGCUGGGUCAAGAACUAAUAACAUUUUAGAACAAGGUUAGCUAUUGGAAUUAUUUUCUAUUGUGCCGCUGGAAUUAAGGUAACCAAGUUCCACCUUUAUUAUUUAGUCUCUAGCGACCAGUUUUAUUUCCUGAAAUUGGUGAAAUAUAAGUACUAUGUUCAGAUUAUAGGACAAAUAGUUAAUCUAUGUAUUGCUUGGAUUAUUGUUUUAGUUGUUGUUUAUCAAUAGGUUGUGGUUUAAUGGAUUUGUUUUUUUUUUUUUUUUUUUGACAUAGUAAUGGAUUUACUUAUAGUGAGUGAUUAUUGUAUCUUUACUGGUUGUUUAUUUCUCUCGCCAAUCCCAAAAUAGAGAGAUUUCAGUUUGUUUGAAUUGGCCAUAAUAGAAAACUUUGUGCGUUAAGGCCAAUUUUUUAAUUCUCUUCGGUUUGCUAUCUAUUAAGGCCAAGUAGAAAGAGGAAUUUCUCUUUGAUUUUUGACGGACAUUAAUAAUUUGGACCUGGAAUUUGGCUCAAUAGAAAUUGAGAUUAUGAUGGGAACCUUGCAAAAGGGAUGACGGUUAACUACUUAUACUGUUUCCUAUAUGUUGGUAUGAUUCUAAUUUAAUUAGUUAUUGGGUUUUUUUUUUCUCUUCUUUGUUGGAUCUUUGAUCAAUUUCCUUUUGGGAUUCCAAUUAUUAUCAUCAAAAAGUGGAAAUUGUUUUGGCAAUAAUCUCGAUCUGCAGCAAGUCAGAUUGAAGUGCACAUAUGAGGCCAUGGAUAUGUGUAAUAUAGUUAAAGUUUUUGUGUUGAUCCCCUAUACGUUGUCCAUAAGUCUUAUAGUAACUAUACUCUUUAGAUUCAUGAAUUUGGAGUUUAAGUAUGUUUUUUUUUAUCAAGCUAAAUUUUCAGUAACUGAACUAUGUGACUAUAAUUUGCUACUCCGUAAAUCUUUGGUGGGUUCGUAUAAAAUACGACCACCACGUGUUAUAGUAUGAUGUAUGCGUAUUAUGAUUGAUCAUGGUGUGGCUUAGUCGGGCUAACUUCUCUGGAAAAAAUAUAUUAUCUACCUUGAACUUGUCCAAUAUAUACCUUAUAUACUAUAUUAUGUUUCUAAGUAGUAAGUAGUAGUGGGUCGCUAUUGAUUUUCAAGGGCAGCAACAUUGAAUUUGAAUUAGCUUGCAACUUCACGUAAAUAGUGAGGGUAGACCAUGCGUCUACACUUAAGGGGUGAUCAAUAAAGCUCUACUAAAGGGAAAUUCUUUCUCAAUUAUAUUAUAUAUAAUUGUUGUUGUUUAAUCUCUAAUACUGCAUAACACAUUUAUUAUGUGCCCUAUUUUAUGCAUAAUUUAAUUUUGAUGAGUUGUUAUGCAAUGUGGGGGGUGAGUGAGACUGACUAAUUAAUAAGUUAGGUUGACUUGCCUUGGUAAAUAACUAAGUGUAUUGUGUAGGAAGACUCCUCUAAAUGUUACACGGUACAUUUGGGCCUUUUCACAUUAUGCUUCUCAUAUAAAGUCAUUAAAGGAUCAUUGCAUGCAACAAAGUAGUGGCAUAAGACUUUUCUUAAAACUAUCCUUUUCUUUGCUUACAAUUUUUAGAAUUUAUUGCACGUGUGUAGUUUAACACGAUUAGCUUUGAGUGUUCUAACAUGUCUUGCAUGUGGCAAUCAUACGUUGUCGGUUCACACAAGCUUUAAUUUUAAGGUGAGACCAAGGUUCUAAUCUCUUAAGCCAAGAUGAAGGUACGCCGUUAAUGAGAUUAAUUAAUAUGAUACUUGGUGGCCUGGUAAGGCUAAUGAAUUUGUACAGGUACGUUUAAUCUUAUUCUCACAUCAUAUAGAGAAAUGUUUUGUAAUCGUCAAUUACCUAAUAUAGACUUGUUAUGGUUCUAGUAUAUUAUUGUUGAUAGUUCAUGAGAAAGUACUCUCAAAUUAGUAUGCUAAUGUGCUUGUAAGUCUAAUAUGGCGAUAAUUUAAUCUUGAAUUUAUGUUGUUUUGCAGUAAACAACGUUUGUUGGUACAAUCAUAAAUCACUAGUGAGUUUAAUUUUUUCUAUGUGGUAGUUUAAUGUUUUGAGAAAAUACAAAGCAGAAGUAUGUUGCACUAUGCAUUAUGAAAUUGAGUUCGUAGUAUUAAUUGAAUCUCAUAUGUCAAGAAAACAAGGUAUGUAAAUUGGUUAAGUCGUUAAAGGACUUAAGCAAGCUCCUAAAUAAUGGCAUUACAAGACGAUGAAUGGUAAUGGUUAUUCUGUGUUUAUUCUAAGCAAGAGUCUCAUUGUUGUUUGGUUAUCUUCUUGUGGAUGACAUGCUAUUUUUGGUACUAACUUGGAUCGAAUAGAUGACACAAAGAAAGUUCUAAAUUUAGAAUUUUAAAAUGAUAAACCACAUGGAUGAGGCAAAUGUGACUUUGGUAGUAAAAUUUAUAAGGACUCCAAAUGAAAUUUGUCUUAGUCUGUCUCACAAAGCUGAAAUUUUUUCUUAAAACGUUUUUCUCAUUUAAUGUCGAUCAAGUUAGGAUUCCUUUUGAUCCAAAUAUCCACUUAAAGAUAAAAGUGAUCUACUUUGUCAAUUUGAAUAUGCUAAGAUUGUUGGUAGUGUUAUGUUUCGUAUGAACUACACUGCACUUGACAUUGAUUAAUCUGUGAGUGGAUUGAGCAGGUACAACCAUAGCCCAAAUAAUGAGAAUGUGGAUGCUAUAAAAUGAUUGCUUCGGUACUAUAUGGAUACCAUGGAUUGGAGUUUGCACUACUCCUAAUUUCCAGGAGUGUUGGAGGGAUUAUGUGAUGCUUACUUGGUAUCUAUGAAUUAUAAAGUUGACUCCAACAGUGGCUAUGUCUUCACCCUAGCGGGUGGAGCUGUAUAUUGGAAAUCUUGCAAGCAAUCUUGUACUAACUGCUAUGAAUAAUAUAUAAUAUGAAUUUAUUGUUAUUAAGUUGGCAGGUUAUGGUUGAGGAAUGUGCUUGCAAAUAUUCCAAUGUGGGGGAAGCCAGCUCCUUCAGUUGCAAUCGUUGUUGCAAACAACCUUGCCUACAAUGGGAAGAAAGACACAUUCGUUUGAGGCAUAAAGCCGUCAAAGGAAUUGAUGAACAAACCAAGGGAGCGUUCCUUCACGACUGAUGAAAUAAAACGUGUUCGAGACAAGUUGGCACGAUUUAUUAGUAAUGAAUGUCUUUGAUUGUUCGAGUUUUUAGCAUUAUAAUGAAUCUAAUACUUUAGUUAGCUACCUUUUUCCAUUAAUAAUUUAGAUACAAUAUGUUUUAACCCGUUCUUUGAUAUUUAUUUUGAUUCUUUUUUCACUAGUGUUAUUGAAUGGUGUAUGGAUGAGCUAAGGGCUUGUUUAUUGGUGUACAAUAUAUACAUUGUGGUUGAAUGA